UCUGAAUGUUUUACUUUUUCGACCGAGGCGUCCGUCCCUUGCUCGGCGACCUGAACCACAGGGGGCGCGCUCCCUUGGCUCCGCUCGAGGGCCUUUGCCGCCCUAGCACGUCCGCAAGCGAGCAGCGGUCGGUUCCACGAGCAGCAUCGACGGUGCGGGAGCUGCCGAAGCAAGCAGCGGAAGCACGCCCGGCUCCCGCAGAUCUCACCGAGUGCCGCGGACGGCACCGCAUCUCGUGCUGACACCGCGUGACCGCGAUUUGCUUGUCGGCCGCGACGGGGGCCUGCCGUUGCGGGUCGGGGUGGUGCCCGCGAGGUGUUCGGGGUAUUGCACGAGCCGAGCAGAACGGUCUCUCAUUUUGGCACGGAUGGAUGGGGGCAUUCCAUUGGUGCGAGGGUUAAUAUUGUGAUUAUACUCCUUCUUUUUGCGGGAAUAUUGUGCUUAUACAGUUCUGGAUUGAAGCUAUGGACUAUAGAAUAACAGAUAGAUUGAAUUUCGAAGAUGGAACCUAUGGCCCGCGAAGAGUUGUCCUGAGUGUCUCCAGGGCAUCAUGUUGCACUGUUCAGAGCUUCAGCAUUCUGACCUUCUGAGAGUCGAAAACCAUCUCUUGAAGCAAGACGGAGUUUGAUCAUUCACGGUGGGUUCUCUAGUAUACCAUAGCUUUCUAUGCUUACGAACACUCCAUUUGUGCUUUCUCACCUUCUAUUAGCUUAUUAUUGGGUCAAACCAUAUUACCUGAUGGCUGAUGUGUUUGUCAUCUUUGAUAGUACCGUACGUCCUUUCAAACACAGUUACCACAUUUCUGUUAUCCACAGAAAUAGUAGUAACAUGUCACAAGCAUGCAAGUGUAAUGAAUGUAGCUGGAACUUCUUGCGGCAGCAUGCAGGGUCUACUGCUCAUCACAUUUUACCCCGCGACUCAUAAGAGCUAAUAGCAUGCACAGCACACAGCGGCAUCCGCAGAACUUUCAGUCAUGCAAAAGAUGUCAUGCUUGUGACAUGUUACUACCAUUUCUGUGGGCGCGGUUAAAUUUAGCCCUUGAUUUAAGUGGCUCUAGCACUUCUGAAGUAACACAAGCGAGCUUGAAAAUUGAUGAACUUUUCAAGGGCAGUCAUGCCAAUUUCCAUCCAUUGGGUGGUUUGAGCACAUCCGGUCCAAACGCGUCGACCAACGGACUACUGAACUCUGUAAAGCGACUAGCAGUGACUCGUGUCUAAUUUAGCGGCGCGUGGAGGUUCUUCUGUUCUUGUGGUUAUCUUUCAACCAUGGAUAUAGUAUAGUGAUAUUCAGAUGUUCCACGGGUGAGCUCCCUUCCCUAAUGUGCCCG